rnacentral:tRNA from 3 species
GCGCCCGUAGCUCAGUGGUAGAGCGCUACUCUUAUAAAGUAGAUGUCCUUGGUUCGAAUCCAAGCAGGCGCACAA